rnacentral:sRNA from 1 species
AACCUCACUUUAAAUAUCUAAAAAGUUAUUUAUUUGUAUAAUUAUAUAAAUAUUUUCAUGUCUACAUAUGAACAUGAUGCUUAUAUUCUCAGAAGGUUUAAAAAUCAAGACAAUUAGAUUCUUUAGAAAAUGAUCACCUUAUUCCAAAACAGAGCUGUAGACAGAAUAGAUGGCGGGGGGGAGGGGGCAGAGGUCACUGAAGAGGGCGUGGGGGGGUGAAAAUACUGAGAGUGCUACAGAACCCUGUUCUGGUGGGGAGUGGGGGAGGGGGAGGUUAGAAGAUAAAGCUCAGCAAGCAGGGUCACUGAUGACAACCAGGCCAGCCAUGGGAAGUGAGGGGCUGUAACGUUGCGACCUACUGCACUCUAAGUUGAGGCUGCUAAUCCACCUCCUAGCUUGUUCGCUUGUCCAGAGACAAGGACCCUCUCUCGUCCAGUUUACGCUCACCAAGCAAACUGAUAAGUAAGGCAGCAGUGGAAUUACAGAAGGGCCUGCGGAGCUCUCGGAACCGCCUAUCGGCUGUGAGUUCCUGGGAAGGCACCGAGGCCCUCGGACCCUGUUUCCUUGUUUUCAAACAUAGAUGAGAGUAUGGUGCUACUUUUGGGGCGGGGGUUGGAAGGAAGGUGAGUAACCCACAAAAGACUAACACUGGGGUUGGGGAUUUAGCUCAGUGGUAGAGCGCUUGCCUAGCAAGCGCAAGGCCCUGGGUUCGGUCCCCAACUCCAAGAAAAAAAAAAAGACUAACACUGCCACGGCCAGUAAGGACAUCCAAUAAAGGAGGGUUUUGUUGGUUUUUUAAUGUCACAAAUGAGAGUAAUCCAUUUCUGUCCGUCUGUUCCGGGUGGCUCAGCCGCUCAGUUAAGCUGGCCCAUCCCUGCCCUCUGACAUGAUCCCUGCCCUCGGAUGCCACCUGGUCACAGAUAGUUAUAGAUGACAAAAGCACUUUCACUGGGGAGCUGUGGACGUCCCUUGUUUAGAUGGCCCCUCAGCAGCAGAGAGCUCUCUAUUGAGAACUUGGCUCUCUUCCGGUUGGGACAACUCCCUUCAGGCACACACACCAGGCAUUUGUGACAUACUGCACUGGACCCUACUAAGUCACAUGGGGGUUCCCUUGGACAGUGUUUCACUCACUACAGGUUAUAGCAGGGAAAAUGGACUCUGGUCAGGUUCUGAGGCGUCUCUCCAGUUGUUUGAGAGUGGCAUGUGUGAGUCUGUAGGUGUGGCUCUAAGCAGGAUGGCAUUCUCUCCUCAGAGUAAAGAGGGAGGCCAGGCAGCUCUGGGGUUGGGCUGCAAACCAGGGGGCCACCUUUAGGCAGGCAGAUAUGAAGGAGCCAAAGCAUUGGACCCAAGACACAAACUCUACCCUCAGAACAGAGGGCAGGCAGUGCCAGUACCAAGGAUGCCAACUAAAGCAGGCAGAGAACAACAGACGCGUCUGAAGUCGUCUUAGGCUUACACAGCCCAUGGGUGCUGCCUGACU